rnacentral:tRNA from 1 species
UCUAAUUUGGCAGAGAAGUGCAGUGGAUUUAAGCUCCACUUAUAAAGUUCACAACUUUUUUUAGAA